AUGAAUGAAUUAAACUGUGACCGUCCUUCCUUUGCCGUACCCAAAGUUGCUGCAUUAUGGCUGUUGUCUGUAGAUUCCUUCAUGCACAGCUCGUAUUCUUUUGGAUGUUUCAUGCGCAAAUAUUUUAACAGCGGGGAUGUUGUGUAUUGUC